CAUAAACUAAAUGCCAAAAUGAUGACUGUGACAAAAUUUGCUUCCAAAUGUCCAAGCAGCUUCAGAUUAUAAUAUUUUUGUUAAAAUGUAUGGACUACGACCAAAGAAUGACGAUGACGCUGGUGUCCAGAUUAUCUCCAGUUAUAUGAGAAAACGAAAGAUUCCCGAUAAGAAAAACUAUACCCAACAGAGUUGGAAAAAGACAUGUUUUCCAAAGAAAUAGAUGCCAUUAGAGGUACUAUUUAACGCGUUGUCAUUUUUCAGGCGUAGUUACAUUCCAAUCUGGCAAUCUUCAACUUUUCUGAGAAAAUCCACGUAAUUUAAUUUUCAGCUGUCAAAUUUUUUUCUAAGGCCGCC
rnacentral:lncRNA from 1 species